rnacentral:rRNA from 1 species
CCUACGGGAGGCAGCAGUGGGGAAUAUUGGACAAUGGGGGAAACCCUGAUCCAGCCAUGCCGCGUGUGUGAAGAAGGCCUUCGGGUUGUAAAGCACUUUAAGCGAGGAGGAAGGUUCGUUACUUAAUACGUAACGGAAUUGACGUUACUCGCAGAAUAAGCACCGGCUAACUCUGUGCCAGCAGCCGCGGUAAU